UACGUAGGGUGCAAGCGUUAAUCGGAAUUACUGGGCGUAAAGCGUGCGCAGGCGGUUGUGCAAGACCGAUGUGAAAUCCCCGGGCUUAACCUGGGAAUGGCAUUGGUGACUGCACGGCUAGAGUGUGUCAGAGGGGGUAGAAUUCCACGUGUAGCAGUGAAAUGCGUAGAGAUGAGUGGACGGAAUACCGAUGGCGAAGGCAGCCCCCUGGGAUAACACUGACGGCUCAUGGCAACGAAAGCGUGGGGAGCAAACAGG
rnacentral:rRNA from 1 species